rnacentral:rRNA from 1 species
GACAGAGGUGCCAAGCGUUAGGCGGAAUCACUGGGCUUAAAGCGUGUGUAGGCGGAAUGGUAAGUACCUUGUGAAAUCCCACGGCUCAACCGUGGAACUGCUUGGUAUACUGCUUUUCUUGAGCCACUUAGGGGCAACCGGAACAAACGGUGGAGCGGUGAAAUGCGUAGAUAUCGUUUGGAACGCCAAAGGUGAAAACAGACAGCUGGGAGUGUGCUGACGCUGAGACACGAAAGCCAGGGGAGCGAACGGG